GACAACAAAACUGAUUUUAUUAAUGUAUUUCCGUUCUUAAGUUGAUUAUUGAUAAAUCAGAGUUCCUUAUAAGAUGACAAAGGUUACUUACCUUGUAUUACACUUUCAAAAUUUUAAUUAAUUUUGACUGUACACGAUAAUAAUCACAAAUCAAACACACUUAACUAUAUAAUUCUUAUGUUAUAGAGUACAUAAAAGAAAAUGCAUCUUAUUGGUAUGGUGGUACCAAUCAAAUCUUAUAAGUUAUCCUUCAAUCAUAUAGUCUCACACAUGCACAAUCUCAAGAUCUCUUUCAAUCGAUGUAAAUAUGAUUCAUUUCAUGUAUCCCUUUUCCUAAAAACAUGUCGAGAGCCACUCUGUCUUAUGUACCAACGAUCACUCUUUACCCUCUUCCACACCAUAAGUGUCACAUUGGUGACCUUUUAAUUGGACCAACCCUGCAGGAAGCCAUCAUUUGGGGAAACUAAUUUAGAUUGUGCCUAAAAUCAUUGGUGCAAUAUUAUUUGAAUCAUAGUCCCAUAAUCACAAUGCGACUGAUAACCACAUAGAAUCAAAGACAUCAAUGUAGAUUAACAAUAGUCAACAUAUCAUACUAAACUCAAUAUCAUGUUGUUAUCGACCAAAUGACCUUAAUUUACUGUAACUUUGCCAAGCCGGUAAACAUACCUCAGGAAUAAAAAAAAAAUUGAUACUCAAUCCAAAAUAAAAUAUAAGCAAAAAUAAUAGUUUUUUUUAAGGAAGCAAAAAUAAUAGUUUCUUUUAAUUUAUAUAUAUAUAUAUAUAUAUAUAUAUAUAUAUAUAUAUAUAUAUAUAUAUAUAAAUUAAUUAUUUAACCACAUUCAAUGACUUUUCAACUACGACUUUUGUUUAUAUUUUAUUUCGAAGGGAAUACACUCUCAUUCUCCACGAACUCUACAAACUUAACCCAAAACUGACUUGAACAUUGAAGUGUUUGUAUACAUGAUUAUCGACACUCACCUGUUCCGGAUCCAAAGUUCUUCUCAAUUAAAAAACAAAUCCCACAGCAAAGUCGGUGUAAUACACAAGCAGCCUCGUUCAGGGUAAUAUUUUGGAUUUCAAAUUAGAAAAAAAAAAUAUAGUAACAUUUUUAAAACAAAAACCACAUGGGAUGUAUUGUCUUUG
rnacentral:lncRNA from 1 species